AGAGUUUGAUCCUGGCUCAGGAUGAACGCUAGCGGCAGGCCUAAUACAUGCAAGUCGAACGGCAGCACGCCUUCGGGUGGUGGCGAGUGGCGAACGGGUGCGUAACGCGUAUGCAACCUGCCUGGUACAGGGGGAUAGCCUGUGGAAACACGGAUUAAUACCCCAUAUUGCCUAAGUGUCACCUGGCACUAAGGUGAAAGGCUUCGGCCGGUACCAGAUGGGCAUGCGUCCCAUUAGCUAGUUGGCGGGGUAACGGCCCACCAAGGCUACGAUGGGUAGGGGUUCUGAGAGGAUGAUCCCCCACACUGGUACUGAGAUACGGACCAGACUCCUACGGGAGGCAGCAGUAGGGAAUAUUGGGCAAUGGGCGGAAGCCUGACCCAGCCAUGCCGCGUGCAGGAUUGACGGCCUUCGGGUUGUAAACUGCUUUUAUACGGGAAGAAUAAGGUCCAUGCGUGGGCCGAUGACGGUACCGUAAGAAUAAGCACCGGCUAACUCCGUGCCAGCAGCCGCGGUAAUACGGAGGGUGCAAGCGUUGUCCGGAUUUAUUGGGUUUAAAGGGUACGUAGGCGGCCAGGUAAGUCAGUGGUGAAAGUUUGCGGCUUAACCGUAAAAUUGCCAUUGAUACUGUUUGGCUUGAGUACUGCA
rnacentral:rRNA from 1 species